rnacentral:misc_RNA from 1 species
AACGCACAUUGCGCCCGCCAGUAUUCUGGCGGGCAUGCCUGUUCGAGCGUCAUUACAACCCUCAAGCCCCCCGGCUUGGUGUUGGGGACCGGCCACCGGUGCCCUGCUGCUUCCGCGGCAGGCGCGCCCGGCCGCCCCCGAAAUGAAUUGGCGGCCCCGUCGCGGCCUCCCUCUGCGUAGUAGCACACAUCUCGCAGCUGGAGCGCGGCGCGGCCACUGCCGUAAAACGCACCAACUUUUUUUUACAGUUGACCUCGAAUCAGGUAGGAAUACCCGCUGAACUUAA